UUCCAUAUGUAAAUACCCUAAAGACACCACAUCCCAUCUGAACUUGAGAGAUAAGCGGGGUCAGCCCUGGUUAGUAUUUGGAUGGGAGGCUAUCAACCAAGACCUGGUGCUGUCGGCU
rnacentral:rRNA from 1 species